GCGGCCAAAGCCCGGGAAGCUGCUGCGGGGGCAAUGGCUGCGCCGAGCCCGGGGCCCCGCGAGGUCCUGGCCCCCUCCCCUGAGGCUGGAUGCAGAGCAGUCACCUCCAGCCGCCGGGGGCUUCUCUGGCGCCUCCGAGACAAGCAGUCUCGCCUGGGCCUGUUUGAGAUCAGCCCGGGGCACGAACUGCAUGGGAUGAUGUGCAUGAUGCAGGCAGGGCUGUGGGCUGCCACCCAGGUCUCCAUGGACCACCCACCCACGGGGCCGCCCUCCCGGGACGAUUUCUCGGAGGUCCUAACCCAGGUUCAUGAGGGCUUCGAGCUGGGCACGCUGGCCGGCCCCGCCUUUGCCUGGCUGCGCCGCUCCCUGGGCCUGGCGGAGGAGGACUAUCAGGCUGCGCUGGGCCCCGGCGGCCCCUACCUGCAGUUCCUCAGCACCUCCAAGAGCAAGGCCAGCUUCUUCCUGUCGUGAGCUUGCGGCAGGGGUGGGGCAGGGGUGGGAGUGGUACCCCUGGGUGGGAGGGCAGAAUUCCCAGUGGCGGGGAAGGCCCCCUGAAGAAACAGAGCGGCCCUAAUCUGGGAGGGUCAGGGCCGGAUGGUGGACAGAUGGGGGAGGAGAGGAGGGCGAGGGCCGAAGGCGAGAGGGGCGGUGCCGAGACCUGGGAGCGAGAUCCACAUGCACAGGUCGGGGAAGGCGGCCGGGUGGGAGCCGCUCCAGCCAGGCCUGGGCAGUGACUUCUUUCUCUUGCCUC
rnacentral:sRNA from 1 species